CGCAAAAGGAACCACUGAGGCAUAGAGAGAUGAAGGGUUCAGAAUCAGCAAUUGGUCAGAAGCAGAGUUGAAUUCGAACCCGAGUCUGCCGUCUUCCGAAACGGAAGCUGACCGUUUUCACCCUGUCUCUAGAAGUUUCUUUGAGACCAGUUCUGUGAGCUUCCUUAGGGCAGAGCUCUGUCCCCCUCCCCUCCCCGCCCCGGGAAUUAGUCCCUGGGAAGGGCUUGGGAGACUUGAUGGGGGUGGAGGAAUGGGGCCGUAGGCAAAGGCCAGCGCAAAAGUAAGCAAUGAAGGGAAGAGAGGCAGUCGUAGGGUGGGGGCCGCAUUCUUCUGGCGGGAAAACUAGAAGGUCCUUCUCUGAGGAAGAGCUGAUGCUCUAAUUCCCUACACCUGCCAGGCAGAACAGAGUGAUCUCCUCUACCUGGCAACAAGCAUGGUGUGAGAGCCCCAGCUUUCCAACUGAACCCAGCAAAAGAGGAGCUACACCCAGUUUCGUGUAUCAGUUUCAGGGAAGGACUGUGAUGGGCUCUGCUGAACUGACACGCCUGUGCUUUCACCCCUGAACCUGUUGGCAGAGGAAUAAGGUACUAUACAGGAUAAAUGUACUGUCAUGGGCAGCCCCACCAGAGUCACACGGAAUGAAGAUGGCUAUAUUGCCCAAAGGAAUAGCAGUGCUGGGCAGGCACAACCAAAAUCCAUCCCAGCCCUGCUCCCAUCAGUCAGAAAAAAAAAAAAAUCAGUUAAUAUGUUUUGUUACGUACUCUUCCAGACUUUUUAUAAUGUAUAUACAUAUACCCAUUUCCUCCUAUAGCCCCCAUCUCCAAUGAGCCCUCAUCUUCAAUGAGCGUAUUUCAAGGUACUAAAAAAGUAAGUCAAGGAAAGUCAAAAUAUAUGGAAACAAGAAAAGAAAAAAGUAAAGGAAGUAAUUCCCUUCUCUCUGUAAUUAAAAAAUGACAUAACAGCUC